rnacentral:misc_RNA from 1 species
UGGCUCUGUGCCAAUCAAACAAGAAUAGAUACUCAAAUGUACAUGAAUCCUCUCCAUGAGGAUCAAAAUAAAAUAUUUACAAAUCAGAUCUCCUAACUGUCUUUACUUACGUACAAUAAUUUAAAACAAAAGAAAUAUCCAAAAAUAACAUAUUGGCCCAACCUCCACUCGACUCUGGAGUUAGUGAAGUGGAUGAGAGGACAACACUAAAAGAGAGGCUACUAGUAGUGGAGUAAGCAAAAGAAAUUUGAAAGAAAUCAUUAGCUCUUGUGAGUGAAAGAUGGUUUUGAGUUAGGUUUUGUGUUGAAAAUUGGUGUUUAAUUAAAGCUUGAAUGGGUUUAUGGGUUUGAUUUGCAAUAUGGAUGUGAAUGAAAUGAAGAGAGGAGAAAUGCUUGGGGUGGAAUCCCCUGUUUCUGCUCAAGGGAAACAAAAGAAGGGGAAUUUUUUUUUU